GACGAACGCUGGCGGCGUGCUUAACACAUGCAAGUCGAACGGUGACGAGGAGCUUGCUCCUCUGAUCAGUGGCGAACGGGUGAGUAACACGUGAGCAACCUGCCCCAGACUCUGGGAUAACAGUUGGAAACAGCUGCUAAUACCGGAUACGAGACGGAGAGGCAUCUCUACCGUCUGGAAAGUUUUUCGGUCUGGGAUGGACUCGCGGCCUAUCAGCUAGUUGGUGAGGUAAUGGCUCACCAAGGCGACGACGGGUAGCCGGCCUGAGAGGGCGACCGGCCACACUGGGACUGAGACACGGCCCAGACUCCUACGGGAGGCAGCAGUGGGGAAUAUUGCACAAUGGGCGAAAGCCUGAUGCAGCGACGCCGCGUGAGGGAUGACGGCCUUCGGGUUGUAAACCGUCUUUCUAGCAGGGAAGAAGCGAAAGUGACGGUACCUGCAGAAGAAGACACGGCUAACUACGUGCCAGCAGCCGCGG
rnacentral:rRNA from 1 species